rnacentral:lncRNA from 1 species
AGAAUGUAGAUUAACAUGUACCAACUCGCAGGUCUAAAACAGAAGCAAUCGAUAGAUCAACCAGUGUAGCCCAGAGGAACAAAGAAAAAAAUGCAUUUACAAAUAUUUUAAAUACUUUUUAACAUUUGUUCUUGCUUUUAAAAAGAAACAAGAUUAAGUCACAAAAAUAAGAUUUUCUUUUUUUUGAAUUGAUUCCAGAUGAAGGGAAAGCUGUCAGUGGGGAAAGGAGGGACAAUGUGAGAUAGCCAGCGGGUUGGAGCACCUGUUCUCCAUUGCCUCAGCUUCCCAUUGAGGAGUGGGGCAAACGGAGACGGCCCGGCCUAUUUAUAUACAACAGUGGCUCCUGUUACAGCUGUGGCAAAGAGCCAGUUUGUGGCAGAUUGCAAAAGAUAGAAAAGAGCAACAUGCAGGCAGUUUGCUGCCAGACAACACUCCAAGAGAGAAAGCACGCCGAAAACACAACAUGUUGCUGGCGCUGGCGAGACUAAGCCAAAGGGGGAGGACGGCGGGACGAGCAGGAAAUGGCUCCAGCUGCAGAGCCAAGGCCGAGCCAACACCGACCCACAAACCAGAGCGCUGCAAGAGGCUGGAGGAGCUUCUCCAGCUGAGGUCUCUGCUAAAUCUGCUUCGUUCCUCCUUUCUCACAAGUAGCCCGUCAGCUUUAAAGAUCAAAGUUGCUACGACUCCCAGCUCCAAACUCUGGUAAGAAGAGAGAAGUAUGAACAAAACAGGAUUUCAUUUUGUAUGUCAUGAAAUAAAACUGAAUUUUGUGUUUCUCCAUCCACAGAAGGGCCCAGAGAUGCUGGACAUAUUAGGCCAACAUCUCUUGGUGACUGCUGUAAAAUGCAAACAAAAACUUUCUCCCUUCCUACAUUCCUCCUUUCCUUUACCUUUUACACUUUCCUGAAACAAAGCAAAACAAGCUCCAAAACCUGUAAUAAAAUGAAUGUCUUUGACAAGAUUCCAAACUGUUUUACAGAAAACCUCCUCAGACAUUCCCCGAUGUUCCAUUCCUGCUCUGCUCCUCUAUUUUUCUACUCUGUACGUCUGCAAGGUAUUACUUAGAAGGCCUCCUGACGUCACCUUAACGUCCAAAACACCCCGGGCCAACAAAUCAUUCACUUAUGUCUGACAGAAAGUCCCUAGAGCAGGAGGUCUGCAGCCACAGUGGUAUUGUAAAAUUACUUCAAUAUAUUUUGUUGUUAUUUAACAAGACGGAAUAAUUUAAUCUAGAACCCUUUUAACUCUAAUGGAAUUAGGAUUGCUUCAUGUGGGCCCAUAAACUGCACACAAGCGCCUCAGCACCAUGUCCCUUGUCACAACCCUUGAAACCAUUCUUUUGUUUUUAUUCUCUAUGCCGCCAUUUUCCUGCUUUUCUCAAAGAAGCAUGAAACCUAAUUGCUGGUUAAAGAGCAUAUAAGCAUCAUCAGGUUUUCAGUAACCACAGGCGAAGGAAAAAUCCGGUUUUACCAAGAAAACGUUCUGCAGUAGUGUUUAAAUUAAGUUUAACACUUAUCUUCUCAGGAUUAAAUGGCACCUUUUUUGAAACAAACUUGUCCAUUAAAAAAAACAGUUUUUAGAAUCAAGUUUUACAAAAACACAAAUGUUUCCUCUUAAAAGCAGUUUGGUUUAAUGUAUGCUUUAUUUCAGGAAAAUGUUAAGACUUUUUUCCAGGAGAAAAUUAAAAGACUGUUUACUGAUGAGCCCCUCCUUUCUUGAGUCACGGCCAAAUCCUCUGUGGUCUUGAAACCACGAUGAGCGACGUUUUGAAAACCCUUUCAGCUUUACAUGAAAAACUCCUUUACCAGGUACCAGUGGCAGACCGUGUAUUACACACCUGGGCCUUCAGUAGUACUACGUCUAAAUCACUCAACCCUUCAAUAACCGUUUUUCUGCCUCUAAAUAAAGUGAAUAAACAAAACAGUAAACAAUUCUCGUUAUGCAACUACAGCCAGCACAAAACAUUGAAAACAACCACCUAAAUUUGAAACAUUAUUUAUUAUGAUAUUUAUCAUUUCACUCAUCAAAAAAAAUCGUAUGAUUUAAAGAAAAAAAUCCAUCCUCCUCUUUGUCCUCAAAAACAAUCCAUCAUAUUAGAUUAGAUUUGCUUUUAUUGUCAUUAUCCAUUGUAUAAUGAAGAUUAUGGUCUUCAGUUCCAUCAAGAAGUCCUUUUCUAUUCCAUCAAGGCCAGUGCCGGGUAGGGUUGUGAUGGGUGACUGACAUCACGAUGGAGAGACACCAUCGUGAUGCCACGCCCCCGCCGCGCUGCGAGUCCACACUACAAGCCGCAGUUACAUGUACAAAAUAUCUUGAUAAGGAUUAUUGGUCGGAUUAGAAUCCAACCGUGUAGAUGGACCCAGAAAACCUUUUUCAGAUUAUAAAAAACAUUCACAUGGGUCACACUUUCGGUGGGAAUAAAUCAUUUGCACAUGCUCAGUAGUGUUUUUAAAAAACGGAAGAGAAACGUAGUUCCGCCGAGCGGCUACAUACAUAGAUACUUUAGCUCGGUCAUAUACAAGAUGAUCUCCUAAACUUGCUUUUAUUAAUGUUACGGUUAUUAUGAAGCGCCUGUUCGCUCAUCAUAUUAAUUUUAAUCCAUGUGGUCAGUGCUUUUUCUGUUGAAAAACUGAGCCAG